CUAUUCCUCUGUUCUUCACCAUACUAUUCCUCUGUUCUUCACCAUACUAUUCCUCUGUUCUUCACCAUACUAUUCCUCUGUUCUUCACCAUACUCUCUCCAGAACACUGAUGCCUUUCUGUAGUGUUUGGGUACUUCGUUAUAUUUCAGUCCACAUUAAUAACCCUUUACAGUUCAUAGGUCAACUACAUGCUAGCUGCAUCUGGACUCCACCUUCAGUCCAGUAGACGGUGGUUUAUUACUUGCUUAGAGAAGAGCAAAUAUGUUCUAAACCAGGGGUCUGUUCAGGAGUAACAUAUUUUUUCCAAUUGAAAAAAUGUACUAAAUUAACUUGGCUAUUUAGAGAGCAAAUUUUUGUUUUCCAUUUGUGCUUUCUGAACGUAACCCAACCCAGGGUUGUUCUCUCUGUGGAUACACAGUGUUGCAGGUAGAAAUAGCAUCUAUAUAUCACAUUUCACAAGGAAAAUAGAAUGUCUUCUCUAUUAGAUGUAAAAUCUAUCUGUAACAUUGUUUCUCUGUUCCCUGUCUUCUCUAUUAGAUGUAAAAUCUAUCUGUAACAUUGUUUCUCUGUUCCCUGUCUUCUCUAUUAGAUGUAAUAUAUAUCUGUAACAUUGUUUCUCUGUUCCCUGUCUUCUCUAUAGAUUGUUUCUCCGUUCCCUGUCUUCUCUAUAGAUUGUUUCUCUGUUCCCUGUCUUCUCUAUUAGAUGUAAUAUAUAUCUGUAACAUUGUUUCUCUGUUCCCUGUCUUCUCUAUAGAUUGUUUCUCCGUUCCCUGUCUAAUAUGUGCCUCCCAAAUGGCACCCAUAGGGCUCUGGCUACAGGUUGUGCACUACAUAGGGAAUAGGGCCCUGGUUAAAGUAGUGCACUACAUAGGGAAUAGGGCUCUGGCUAAAGAUUGUGCACUACAUAGGGAAUAGGGCCCUGGUUAAAGUAGUGCACUACAUAGGGAAUAGGGCUCUGGCUAAAGGUUGUGCACUACAUAGGGAAUAGGGCCCUGGUUAAAGUAGUGCACUACUUAGGGAAUAGGGCUCUGGCUAAAUAUUGUGCACUACAUAGGGAAUAGGGCUCUGGUUAAAGUAGUGCACUACAUAGGGAAUAGGGCUCUGGCUAAAGUAGUGCACUACAUCGGGAAUAGGGCUCUGGUUAAAGUAGUGCACUACAUAGGGAAUAGGGUUCUGGUUAAAGUAGUGCACUGCAUAGGGAAUAGGGUGCCAUUUGGGAUGCACCCCUGGACUAACUAACUCAGAGGUCCUGAACAGUCAUUCUGAUUCCCAUGUAAAGUAGCCUUUUGAGUGACCAAAACAUCACCCAUAAUUAUUAUUUUUUUCUCCUCUAGAAAUGCUCUGAAUGUUAAAAAAAAAUGUAAAAGUAUUUUUUUAUUUUAUGUCAAACUACCAGGAAGUCUGAAAAGACAGAUUGUGCGGGGAGAUCACCUGACGGUUCUUUGGAAACGGCCAUGUCAAGCAACAUGGACGCAGUGUUGCCAUGUUGCAGUGACAUUAUCUCAAGCAAAUUGCGUGCAACUUCCAUUCCUUUCAGACAUCACAUCAUGGUUUCAGAAAUAUAUAUAUAUUUAUUUAUUUAUUGUCAGCACCAUUUUAUAUAGCUAUCUUGGACAAUUUGAUUUGAAACGACAGGGUGGAGUCUGGGUAAACGUCAUGCAUUUUAUAUAUGUUGACUGCCAGACAAUGGUCAUAUAUCAUGACUAUGUCAAGAAGUUUGCAACGUUAAUGUAACGACAUGGCCUUUGGUGUAUUAAAAUAAGAGUUUAUUUUUGUGACCUCCUCCUGAGUCCAAGUGUUUGACAAGUGGGGGAGGGGUAUCAGUAACUUUAUGAUCCAACUUGAUCAAUGUAGAAGCAACAGUCAUUUAUCAUACAUUGGUCUUCCUACUUUGAUCUGGUUUCAACCAAAUAUCAUGAAACUUCAUGAAGAAAAAAACAAUUUUGACUGUUCAGGACCUUUAACAGAACAUGGUUUGGUGACAGGGUCUUAUUUGUAUGCUAUGUAAAUAAUACCAUUUUAUUUAUUUGAAAAGUUCAACAAUAUAUUUAUCUACAUCUGAACAAUAACAAUACAAGUCAGUGUACAUAUACGCGGAUCAACUUCCCGUCACAUGACUCUGUGGGGAUGAUGUCACUUCCUCUGUAACAGUGUCUUCUGGGUACUGUAGUACUUCACGUGUCACCGCAGUAGCUACCUGGGAAAUGCGAUGCGUUGAGUUCAACUCCUCUCCCCAGUGCACCAGUGUGUUAAAAUUGGUUGUGUAUGAUAUCUAAACCUCUGUUCAACUACAGUUUAUUAAAAUCAAUGCUGUAAAACAUACAAGCUGUUGGCCUGCGUGUAUUCAAUAGCUCUCCAUGUGUUUAUGCUAGAGAUUUAUCGUGCCAUGUCAUUGCUGCAGCCCAAUCCCCUCUUUCCGCCAAAA
ensembl:lncRNA